GACAGAGGAGCCAAGCGUUGUCCGGAUUGACUGGGCGUAAAGCGCACGCAGGCGGUCGCGCGCGUGGGGUGUGAAAACUGGCGGCUUAACUGCCAGAGGCCAUCCCAUACGGCGCGACUCGAGCCCUGCAGAGGUCCACGGAAUUGCCGGUGUAGUGGUGAAAUGCGUAGAGAUCGGCAGGAACACCCAGGGGGAAACCAGUGGACUGGGCAGGAGCUGACGCUCAGGUGCGAAAGCGUGGGGAGCGAACAGG
rnacentral:rRNA from 1 species